rnacentral:lncRNA from 1 species
CGGCAGCCACGUCAGCAGUCCCGGCCAACCGGGACCUGCCACGUGGCAAGACCACGUCGUUCCAAAAAGGGCCACGUUGGCGAUCCGCGUAGGCGCGAUCGGACGGCCCAGAUCAAGCGUGCGAUCGGACGGCCCAGAUUUAAUCAAAAACGGACGGCCCAGAUUAAAACAAAAUGGACGGCUGAGAUCAAAAGGCAAAGGGUUAU